ensembl:misc_RNA Y_RNA Y RNA
GGCUGGUCCGAAGGUAGUGAGUUAUCUCAUGUGAUUGUUCACAGUCAGUUACAGAUUGAACUCCUUGUUCUACUACUUUCCCCCCUCCUCACUACUGCACUUGACUAGUCUUUA